rnacentral:lncRNA from 1 species
CACAAUCAAAGAAGAACAUGUACGACAAAUUCAAAAACAUUAACCUUUCACCAGACGGAAUAUGUUAUAACUAUUUUUGAGGGUUCAAUACUCUUUCUCGGCCUUAUCAAUUUCCACCAUUCGAUCUUCAGAAUUAUAUCAUCAUGAUAUUGAGGUUUUUAUUUCUGAUCCCAACACUUCCUCUUCUUUUAUGGUUGCGUAAAUCUUGUGCCAAUUCAUAUCUUAUAUCCUUCUCAUCUUACUCUUGGUACCUCCAUCUUCAAUUACAACUCUUCUUCUUCCUUCAUACUAUCAUCACAUUUCAU